UCUCAAGACUCAAGACCUUCAUCUGGAGCAGGUUGUGGAGACUGCAUCUCUUAGAAAGAAGUCAUUUUGGUCACCUGUUUAGACGGAAGCUGCCACAAGUCAUCUCCAAGUGCCCCAGAUCAAAGACAAUCCAAAAGACAGACACAGUCAGUCCACAAUGCUUGGAGCAUCACAAAUUGGAGACCAUUACCACGUUAUCAAGAAGCUGGGCCAGGGUACCUUUAGCCAUGUCCUGCUGGCUCGAGAACGGAUCUCAGGUCAUUCUGUUGCCCUGAAGUUUGUGAGGAAGGACAGAACUCGCCAGGCAGCCUUCCUUCAUGAGUUAAACAUUUCAAUCUCCCUCUCGGACUACCCAGGAAUAAUAAAAACCUAUCCCACCUACAUUGAGACGUUGGAUUACUUCAUUUUCACGCAAGAGCUGGCACCGGCUGGGACACUUCACUCAAUCAUUGAGUCAGAGGUUGGCAUUCCAGAAGAGGUGGUGAAACGUUGUGCGGUGCAAAUCACGGCGGCGCUGGACUACAUUCAUGGCCGAGGACUUGUGCAUAGAGACCUGAAGCCUGAUAAUGUUUUACUGAUGGAUAAAGAAUGUUAUCACAUUAAGCUUUGUGAUUUUGGUUUCACUCAGAACGUGGGCUUCCUGGUCCCUUCAAUGUCGCACAUAAUUCCAUAUAUGCCACCGGAACUUUGCAGCCUCAAGCCUAAUCAUCUACUUGUCUUGGGUCCAAGUAUGGACAUCUGGUCUCUUGGAAUUCUCCUGUUUGUGGCACUGACUGGUUACUUCCCAUGGGAAGAAGCUCUUGGACAUAACCAAAAGUACCAACUGUUUGUCCAUUGGAAGAAUAAUAGAAAUUAUGUUCCGACACCUAUCUUAUGGGAUAGGUUCACACAGGAGGCAUUGGAUAUGUUUCUAAUGCUGCUCUCCGAGAUUCCCUGUGCUAGACACCCCCCUGAUACUGUCCUGAAGUUUCUUCAUUUCCCCUGGAUGGCUAAAAACAACAGUGAUGGUUUGGUGGUAGAAGGUGAUCUAAACAUCAUCAUUCUCGAAGACAACAACGAGCUGCCAGUCAUUGAGUACAUAAUACAAGAGCAGGAACAAGUGAUAGUGGUUGAAAACACAGAUGAUAUAGAAUUUAUGUAUGUGGACAACGCACAAAUGCACCUAGACCCCAACAACCCGGUUAUUAUGCUCCUGUCGGAGAACACUUCGCUAAGUCUGGGAUCGGAAAUCGACAUCACCUAAACCUCAUCUGCUCCUCAAUGUGGUUUAGCAAGUACAGGACAACUGUGUCCAAUCUGCCCAAGUGGGAGGCACGACUGGGAAGUGGCUACGUCCAGUGUGGCUUUCUGACUCAAAACAAGACAUCAUUUGUAUUAAGAAAAGGCACAGUAGACUGGGUGGGGCUUUAUUUAGCCAACAAAGAAUGUCUACAGAGACCAGAGGAUAUGCAGGGUCACUGGCCCUUUAAGGUUUUUCCAUAGAGACUUGGAGAACGGAAGGCGAGAGAAUUCAGCUGAGUCUCGAGGAGAUGAGCUUUCACAAUCAACAUGUCUAAAUGCUCAAUAUGAGGAGCUUCAUUUCUGUUCUUUUACAGUGGGGUUUUCUCAUGCCCCCCCCCCAUAGGUCUCUGUACAAAUGCAAUUCCAGCCCCCCCUUUAGUUAUACCAUUGGCCAAGUAUCUAGUUGUCUAGUGGGUAGCAAAGCUAUCACCCCGGAAGCCUUGUAAGGCCAUUAGGUGUACAUGGUAUUAUUUCCAGCAGUAUGGGUGGGUAUUAGCAUUGACUUGAGCCAUUUAGAUGUAUUGUGCACAUUACGGGGCUGUGUGCUCCCUCAAAGAUCAGCUGACAGGAAGUGAUGCAGCUCUAACUGUAACAGGAAGUAGUGUGGGAGCAAAAGGCAGAACUCUGCCCAUUCAUUGGCUGAUGGGGCCUAGCAUGUAUGUGUGCCUUGGCUUGUUUGUGUGCACUGUGAAUCCUAUGAUCCCAGGGGGCGGCCCUUAGUGUGUAAAAUGGCAGUUUUCUAUUUAGGAUUACCCAAUGGCACAUACUACUAAAAAUGUAUAUUAUUAUGAAAAUGGUUUAUUUAGAUGACGCAGGGUUUUACAUAUGAGCUGUUUAUGCAAUAUAUUUUUAACCUACAUUGUUUGGGGAAAUAGUUUUCCUGUUAGCAAAACAUCAAGCUCCAUGAAACUGAAAAUAAAAUAAUAUAAAACAUAAAGGUUCUGUUGUCGCUUUGGUUGGAGUGCAUUUGCUUACCUACCUGCCCGCUGUUUGCAGACUGUCAGCACCGCUGUUCCAGCUUUAUAUUGUCAGUAAUACACAUACUCAAACACAAUCAAAUCUGUCGACGCUGAAGUAGGAUGGAAACCACAGCAAAUAACCCCUGAGUUCCACCGUACUGAGCAGGGCUGACAGGCUGCAUGCCUCGGCAAAUCCCACCAUUUCAUCAGCUCAAAUUGCUGCCCAUUCAGGCUUCCACCUGUCACUUUAACUUG